AUUGAACGCUGGCGGCAGGCCUAACACAUGCAAGUCGAACGGUAACAGGAAACAGCUUGCUGUUUCGCUGACGAGUGGCGGACGGGUGAGUAAUGUCCGGGAAACUGCCUGAUGGAGGGGGAUAACUACUGGAAACGGUAGCUAAUACCGCAUAACGUCGCAAGACCAAAGAGGGGGACCUUCGGGCCUCUUGCCAUCGGAUGUGCCCAGAUGGGAUUAGCUAGUAGGUGGGGUAACGGCUCACCUAGGCGACGAUCCCUAGCUGGUCUGAGAGGAUGACCAGCCACACUGGAACUGAGACACGGUCCAGACGCCUACGGGAGGCAGCAGUGGGGAAUAUUGCACAAUGGGCGCAAGCCUGAUGCAGCCAUGCCGCGUGUAUGAAGAAGGCCUUCGGGUUGUAAAGUACUUUCAGCGGGGAGGAAGGGAGUAAAGUUAAUACCUUUGCUCAUUGACGCUACCCGCAGAAGAAGCACCGGCUAACUCCGUGCCAGCAGCCGCCGUAA
rnacentral:rRNA from 1 species